UACGUAGGGGGCUAGCGUUGUCCGGAAUCAUUGGGCGUAAAGAGCGUGUAGGCGGCCCGGUAAGUCUGCUGUGAAAGCCGGGGGCUCAACCCUCGAAUGCCGGUGGAUACUGGCGGGCUAGAGUACGGAAGAGGCGAGUGGAAUUCCUGGUGUAGCGGUGAAAUGCGCCGAUAUCAGGAGGAACACCUAUUGCGAAGGCAGCUCGCUGGGACGUAACUGACGCUGAGACGCGAAAGCGUGGGGAGCAAACAGG
rnacentral:rRNA from 1 species